rnacentral:lncRNA from 1 species
CUCUGGAAAGUGGGACUGAGAAGUGCAGCAGAGAGCUGUUGUUUUUCAGUAUAAAUUCUUCAUUACAAUUUUAUUUUUACCAUGUACAUGUAUUACUUUGAUAAAAAUUGAAAGAAGAAAAUAACUUCAAAAAGAAGAAAAGAAUAAAUAGUUCUAGGUUCACUCUAGCACAUAAACACAUAUGCAUCUCACAACACCGUGGCCAAGAUGACACCAGCCUCGGAAAUUUUCAAAGCAGGUGUUACGAGUUGAUCACCAUGGCUAUAAAAAAGAAAAUGAGAAGAAAUAACGUUAAGCAUUUGGUUUUAAACACUUUAAUUUCCUGAUAUAUACCUGUAUGGAUUUUAAAAUGUUCCUCUAUUAUCUAAAAGAGUCUCUAUUUGAAAGCAAAGGCCUCCUUUCCUAUCCAUGGUCAGCUGCUAGAAAAUUAGUCCAACAUUUGACCUUAUUUUCUCCUUUCUGGAUCACGUGGGUUGGCUUUGCCUGUUUAUGAGUUUGCCAAAAGCAAAAGUAACAUGCCAAACCAAACAUCUGUCACUAAACAGCAGGAGAUUUAUUAUUUUUACCUAAAAGAAUGUUUGUUACAACAGGAAUACUGUAAUCAUUAAACCAAGAUGAGGCCCCAGCCCUGAUGGACCGUGUAACCUUAGACACCAAGGUCUCAGGGAACAACGUGCUUCUUCCUGUUCUCACAGAGCCCUGAAGGACACAACUUCUUCUUCUGGAGCGCUGUCAAGAAAGAGAGCUGGGAGGAAAGUUCUGAUCAUGAGGGGAUAUGCAUAUCUACACAGAGUUCUUUGAAUCACUUUUAUAGUUUCUACGAAACUCAAGGGCUGAGACGAAAAAAUGGCGCCUUGCUACGUAUUCAUUGGUCAGCCCUAGCAUCUGACACCAAUGCUUUUCCAAUCCCUAGCAAGCCCAGAGGGGGCUAUAAAGGUGUCUUUUGGCAAGAAAGCAGGCAAAAGAGAAAUUCUGGUUCUCAACACUGAUUGUGUCAUCAGAGGGUAGGGAAGAAAACAGGGAGUUAUUACCAAAGAACAAAGGGUUCCUUUAUCUCCACAGUAUAUCUUCAGGAUGGGAGUCCUGCUGAUACCUUGGUGAGAAAGAUCAACUUAGUACAGCAAAGGAACAGGCUGACCACAGGUGGGAAACAUACCUACAAGGUAUCCGUCACAGCUGACAGAAGAAUGGAACAAUGAAAGACCCUGGAGUGCACCAAGCCUGAAGGAAACCCCCUCCUUAUUGCCCAUG